UCAGAUUUUGGCCAAAUCCUUCCUUCCGUCAUAUAACUUCAGUGUAGAUUUUGAGCAAUUUAAAAGCAUGGACAAUUCAAAGCUGAGCAUUUUAAUGAGACAAGGAUGCAAUACGCUUCGAGCUUUGGUCGUGAAAGAUGAAGAUUUAAUCAAGAGGGUGAAAGCCAGGGCCAUGAAAACUAUGGAGUUUAUCAU